rnacentral:rRNA from 1 species
UAGAGUUUGAUCAUGGCUCAGAUUGAACGCUGGCGGCAGGCCUAAUACAUGCAAGUCGAGCGGAAACGAUGGGAGCUUGCUCCCAGGCGUCGAGCGGCGGACGGGUGAGUAACGCGUAGGAAUUUGCCCAAUAGAGGGGGAUAGCCCGAGGAAACUCGGAUUAAUACCGCAUACGCCUUACGGGGGAAAGGCUGGGAUCUUCGGACCAGUCACUAUUGGAGAAGCCUGCGUAAGAUUAGCUUGUUGGUGGGGUAAAGGCCUACCAAGGCGACGAUCUUUAGCUGGUCUGAGAGGAUGAUCAGCCACACUGGGACUGUGACACGGCCCAGACUCCUACGGGAGGCAGCAGUAGGGAAUAUUGGACAAUGGGGGCAACCCUGAUCCAGCCAUGCCGCGUGUGUGAAGAAGGCCUUCGGGUUGUAAAGCACUUUCAGUAGGGAGGAAGGCUCUAUGGUUAAUAGCCAUGGGGAUUGACGUUAUCUACAGAAGCAGCACCGGCUAACUCCGUGCCAGCAGCCGCGGUAAUACGGAGGGUGCAAGCGUUAAUCGGAAUUACUGGGCGUAAAGCGCGCGUAGGCGGUUUGAUAAGUUGGAUGUGAAAGCCCAGGGCUCAACCUUGGAACUGCAUUCAAAACUGUCAGGCUAGAGUACUGUAGAGGGGGGUAGAAUUUCA